UACAGAGACUGCGAGCGUUAUUCGGAUUCACUGGGCGUAAAGGGUGCGCAGGCGGCCGAGUGUGUGAGGCGUGAAAGCCCGGGGCUUAACCCCGGAAUUGCACCUCAAACUACACGGCUAGAGCAUUGGAGAGGGUAGCAGAAUUCACGGUGUAGCAGUGAAAUGCGUAGAUAUCGGGAGGAACAUCAGUGGCGAAGGCGACCGCCUGGCCCAACACUGACGCUGAGGUGCGAAAGCGUGGGUAGCAAACAGG
rnacentral:rRNA from 1 species